GACGAACGCUGGCGGCGUGCUUAACACAUGCAAGUCGAACGGAAAGGCCCUGCUUUUGUGGGGUUCUCGAGUGGCGAACGGGUGAGUAACACGUGAGUAACCUGCCCUUGACUUUGGGAUAACUUCAGGAAACUGGGGCUAAUACCGGAUAUGAGCUCCUGCUGCAUGGUGGGGGUUGGAAAGUUUCGGCGGUUGGGGAUGGACUCGCGGCUUAUCAGCUUGUUGGUGGGGUAGUGGCUUACCAAGGCUUUGACGGGUAGCCGGCCUGAGAGGGUGACCGGCCACAUUGGGACUAAGAUACGGCGCAGACUCCUACGGGAGGCAGCAGUGGGGAAUAUUGCACAAUGGGCGGAAGCCUGAUGCAGCAACGCCGCGUGCGGGAUGACGGCCUUCGGGUUGUAAACCGCUUUCGCCUGUGACGAAGCGUGAGUGACGGUAAUGGGUAAAGAAGCACCGGCUAACUACGUG
rnacentral:rRNA from 1 species